GGCUCAGGAUGAACGCUAGCGGCAGGCUUAACACAUGCAAGUCGAGGGGUAUUGUUUCGGACCAAGAGACCGGCGCACGGGUGCGUAACGCGUAUGCAAUCUACCUUUUACAGAGGGAUAGCCCAGAGAAAUUUGGAUUAAUACCUCAUAGUAUAGCAGUUUCGCAUGAAACCACUAUUAAAGUCACAACGGCAAAAGAUGAGCAUGCGUCCCAUUAGCUAGUUGGUAAGGUAACGGCUUACCAAGGCUACGAUGGGUAGGGGUCCUGAGAGGGAGAUCCCCCACACUGGUACUGAGACACGGACCAGACUCCUACGGGAGGCAGCAGUGAGGAAUAUUGGACAAUGGGCGCAAGCCUGAUCCAGCCAUGCCGCGUGCAGGAUGACGGUCCUAUGGAUUGUAACUGCUUUGUACAGGAAGAAACACUCCCUCGUGAGGGAGCUUGACGGUACUGUAAGAAUAAGGAUCGGCUAACUCCGUG
rnacentral:rRNA from 1 species